AGUGAACGCUGGCGGUAGGCCUAACACAUGCCAGUCAAACGGCAGCACAGUCAGAGCUUGCUCUUACGGGUGGCGAGUGGCGGACGGGUGAGGAAUACAUCGGAAUCUACUUUUUCGUGGGGGAUAACGUAGGGAAACUUACGCUAAUACCGCAUACGACCUACGGGUGAAAGCAGGGGAUCUUCGGACCUUGCGCGAUUGAAUGAGCCGAUGUCGGAUUAGCUAGUUGGCGGGGUAAAGGCCCACCAAGGCGACGAUCCGUAGCUGGUCUGAGAGGAUGAUCAGCCACACUGGAACUGAGACACGGUCCAGACUCCUACGGGAGGCAGCAGUGGGGAAUAUUUGACAAUGGGCGCAAGCCUGAUCCAGCCAUACCGCGUGGGUGAAGAAGGCCUUCGGGUUGUAAAGCCCUUUUGUUGGGAAAGAAAAGCAGCAGGUUAAUACCCCGCUGUUCUGACGGUACCCAAAGAAUAAGCACGGGCUAACUUCGUG
rnacentral:rRNA from 1 species